rnacentral:rRNA from 1 species
UUGCUAGUUACCAUCAUUAAGUUGGGGACUCUAGCGAGACUGCCAGUGAUAAACUGGAGGAAGGUGGGGGAUGACGUCAAAUCAUCAUGCCCCUUAUGACCUGGGCUACAAACGUGAUACAAUGGCUGGAACAAAGGAUGCGAAGCAGUGAUGUGGAGCGAAACCCAUAAAAACAGUCUCAGUUCGGAUUGAAGUCUGCAACUCGACUUCAUGAAGUCGGAAUCGCUAGUAAUCGCGGAUCAGAACGCCGCGGUGAAUACGUUCUCGGGGUUU